UUACGGCCAUAUCGCGUUGAAAAAUCGGUCUCCUUACGAUCGCCGAAGUUAAGCAACAUCGAGCCUGGUCAGUACCUGGAUAGGUGACCGCUUGGGAACAGCU